AUACUAGUCCUGAGUCUUCUCUGAAUACUGGUUAUGGUGCAUGAUAUUCUGUGGUGAACACGUGUGGGAAGAUUCGUUACUGCUGGAUUCAUAUCCUUGCAUCACACUGGAUGCUCAUUUGCAGCUUUUAGCAGAUACUGGCUACUCCUUUGGUAUGGUCUACUCCUGCUUAAGUUUUGUAUCCUAUGUUGGGAAGGUUUACCUCGGAAGUUUCCUUAUCAACUGUGCCCUUUGUACAGAUUCUGUGUGUUGGCCCAUAGUAGAUGGUUAUCAGACAUAUCCUUCUCAAUACUUGUAAACUUCCUCAUUGCUUUUUAGCUUAGAAUAAGGAAUAAUCUUUGUCUUUCACAUCUAAACAAAAAAAUCCCAAUCCCAAGCUAUGUACUUGAUGUUUUAAACAUCUUGCUCGGGUAGCACUCAGUGUAGUGGUGACCACUGUCCAGAUCCUUUGUGCUUUCCAAGCUAUGCAUGCAUGUCCCCAUUGUUACUCCACAGUGGCUGGAGGUGAGUCAGCAAUCUUUGCAAUGAGGAGCAUCUUAAUCAUAGUAGGUAGAAUGUAGGGACUUUAAAAAAUAGCAUGGGUGUUAUUGUAGCUUUGUAGUAUCUUAAACAAUUGCUUUGAGGCUCAGUUAAAUGCCCUUUUUUGUAAGAAUAUACAAACCUGAUCAGAUGCCUGUUUAUUGUGAUACUUCUUCUAACAACCAACAGCAAAUGCCUGGGGAAGGGUAUAAAUCUAGGGUGUGUCAUUCUCCAGAAUAUUCCCUUAUCCUUCCACAUCUUAUACUUUGGGGAUUUCCUGCUCUGAUGGUAUGAUCUGACAGUAGCAUAAUAAGGUGACAGCCACAUUCAACUGAAAAAACCUGGAAUCAGGCAUAGAUGGCUUUGUUAGAAUUAGUUCUCUACUGGAGAAGAUACAGUUAUGCUGUCCUUUUGCUUUUAUAUUGCCUGAGUGAUUAAGAUUAUUCAUCAGGCUUAAAUUUUCAGGGCUGGAUUAUGGCUUUACUGUGGAAGACCAAGG